rnacentral:rRNA from 1 species
UACGGAGGGUGCGAGCGUUUGUCCGGAUUUAUUGGGUUUAAAGGGUGCGUAGGUGGCUGAUUAAGUCAGUGGUGAAAUACAGCCGCUCAACGGUUGAGGUGCCAUUGAUACUGAUCAGCUUGAAAGAAUUGGAGGCUGUCGGAAUGGAUGGUGUAGCGGUGAAAUGCAUAGAUAUCAUCCAGAACACCGAUUGCGAAGGCAGGUGGCUACGAUUUAUUUGACACUGAGGCACGAAAGCAUGGGGAGCAAACAGG